UGCAAGUCGAACGAUGAUUAUCUAGCUUGCUAGAUAUGAUUAGUGGCGGACGGGUGAGUAACAUUUAGGAAUCUGCCUAGUAGUGGGGGAUAGCUCGGGGAAACUCGAAUUAAUACCGCAUACGACCUACGGGUGAAAGGGGGCGCAAGCUCUUGCUAUUAGAUGAGCCUAAAUCAGAUUAGCUAGUUGGUGGGGUAAAGGCCCACCAAGGCGACGAUCUGUAACUGGUCUGAGAGGAUGAUCAGUCACACCGGAACUGAGACACGGUCCGGACUCCUACGGGAGGCAGCAGUGGGGAAUAUUGGACAAUGGGGGCAACCCUGAUCCAGCCAUGCCGCGUGUGUGAAGAAGGCCUUUUGGUUGUAAAGCACUUUAAGCAGGGAGGAGAGGCUAAUGGUUAAUACCCAUUAGAUUAGACGUUACCUGCAGAAUAAGCACCGGCUAACUCUGUGCCAGCAGCCGCGGUAAUACAGAGGGUGCGAGCGUUAAUCGGAAUUACUGGGCGUAAAGCGAGUGUAGGUGGCUCAUUAAGUCACAUGUGAAAUCCCCGGGCUUAACCUGGGAACUGCAUGUGAUACUGGUGGUGCUAGAAUAUGUGAGAGGGAAGUAGAAUUCCAGGUGUAGCGGUGAAAUGCGUAGAGAUCUGGAGGAAUACCGAUGGCGAAGGCAGCUUCCUGGCAUAAUAUUGACACUGAGAUUCGAAAGCGUGGGUAGCAAACAGGAUUAGAUACCCUGGUAGUCCACGCCGUAAACGAUGUCUACUAGCCGUUGGGGUCCUUGAGACUUUAGUGGCGCAGUUAACGCGAUAAGUAGACCGCCUGGGGAGUACGGCCGCAAGGUUAAAACUCAAAUGAAUUGACGGGGGCCCGCACAAGCGGUGGAGCAUGUGGUUUAAUUCGAUGCAACGCGAAGAACCUUACCUGGUCUUGACAUAGUGAGAAUCCUGCAGAGAUGCGGGAGUGCCUUCGGGAAUUCACAUACAGGUGCUGCAUGGCUGUCGUCAGCUCGUGUCGUGAGAUGUUGGGUUAAGUCCCGCAACGAGCGCAACCCUUUUCCUUAUUUGCCAGCGGGUUAAGCCGGGAACUUUAAGGAUACUGCCAGUGACAAACUGGAGGAAGGCGGGGACGACGUCAAGUCAUCAUGGCCCUUACGACCAGGGCUACACACGUGCUACAAUGGUAGGUACAGAGGGUUGCUACACAGCGAUGUGAUGCUAAUCUCAAAAAGCCUAUCGUAGUCCGGAUUGGAGUCUGCAACUCGACUCCAUGAAGUCGGAAUCGCUAGUAAUCGCAGAUCAGAAUGCUGCGGUGAAUACGUUCCCGGGCCUUGUACACACCGCCCGUCACACCAUGGGAGUCUAUUGCACCAGAAGUAGGUAGCCUAACGCAAGAGGG
rnacentral:rRNA from 1 species